rnacentral:lncRNA from 1 species
UUUGCUUUUGAUUGCGGCCCACGAGUAGGAACGUGCUGCUCCACGUUUGCCAUCCUCCCAACGUCCUCCCACGGGAGAUGGCCUUGACCACCACUCGAACCGUGGCUGGCCGUGUUGGUUCCAUUGCAUUCUACGACCCAUGGCGUCCUGCUGGCAGACGGGACUUCGUUUGGAGCCCUGGUACUACUGAAUCUUGACCUCUGCUUUCGGUCUGCGGACCACGUGUAUAGGAUGUCCGGUGUGCUGCUCCGCGUCUGCCAUCCUCCCAACGUCCCCAUACAGGAGAUGGCUCUGAGCACCACUUGUACUGUGGCCGACCGCGCUCCAUCGCCGGUGUGCGCUCUUGCUGGCUGACGAGACUGCUCAUCGCCCUGCACCACUAAGCGAUCCCAACGUCUGCUUUCGAUUGCGGCCUACGAGUCGGAAGGACAUCAGUGUGCCGCUCCUUGCCAUCCUCCCAACGUCCCACAGGAGAUGGCCUUGGUCACCACUCGCACCGU